GGGUGCUUGCACCUGGUGGCGAGUGGCGAACGGGUGAGUAAUACAUCGGAACGUACCUUAUCGUGGGGGAUAACGCAGCGAAAGCUGUGCUAAUACCGCAUACGCCCUGAGGGGGAAAGCGGGGGAUCGAAAGACCUCGCGCGAUUAGAGCGGCCGAUGCCUGAUUAGCUUGUUGGUGGGGUAAAAGCCCACCAAGGCGACGAUCAGUAGCUGGUCUGAGAGGACGAUCAGCCACACUGGGACUGAGACACGGCCCAGACUCCUACGGGAGGCAGCAGUGGGGAAUUUUGGACAAUGGGGGAAACCCUGAUCCAGCAAUGCCGCGUGAGUGAAGAAGGCCUUCGGGUUGUAAAGCUCUUUUGUCAGGGAAGAAACACCGGCUCUAACACAGUCCGGGAAU
rnacentral:rRNA from 1 species